CCUACGGGAGGCAGCAGUCGAGAAUCAUUCACAAUGGGGGAAACCCUGAUGGUGCGACGCCGCGUGGGGGAAUGAAGGUCUUCGGAUUGUAAACCCCUGUCAUGUGGGAGCAAAUUAACAAGAUAGUACCACAAGAGGAAGAGACGGCUAACUCUGUGCCAGCAGCCGCGGUAAUACAGAGGUCUCAAGCGUUGUUCGGAAUCACUGGGCGUAACGCGUGCGUAGGCUGUUUCGUAAGUCGUGUGUGAAAGGCGCGGGCUCAACCCGCGGACGGCACAUGAUACUGCGAGACUAGAGUAAUGGAGGGGGAACCGGAAUUCUCGGUGUAGCAGUGAAAUGCGUAGAUAUCGAGAGGAACACUCGUGGCGAAGGCGGGUUCCUGGACAUUAACUGACGCUGAGGCACGAAGGCCAGGGGAGCGAAAGGGAUUAGAUACCCGAGUAGUC
rnacentral:rRNA from 1 species